UGGGGAAUUUUGGACAAUGGGGCAACCCUGAUCCAGCAAUGCCGCGUGUGUGAAGAAGGCCUUCGGGUUGUAAAGCACUUUUGUCCGGAAAGAAAUCGCCCUGGCUAAUAUCCGGGGUGGAUGACGGUACUGGAAGAAUAAGCACCGGCUAACUACGUGCCAGCAGCCGCGGUAAUACGUAGGGUGCAAGCGUUAAUCGGAAUUACUGGGCGUAAAGCGUGCGCAGGCGGUUGUGCAAGACAGAUGUGAAAUCCCCGGGCUUAACCUGGGAAUGGCAUUUGUGACUGCACGGCUAGAGUGUGUCAGAGGGGGGUAGAAUUCCACGUGUAGCAGUGAAAUGCGUAGAUAUGUGGAGGAACACCGAUGGCGAAGGCAGCCCCCUGGGAUAACACUGACGCUCAUGCACGAAAGCGUGGGGAGCAAAACAGGAUUAGAUACCCUGGUAGUCCACGCCCUAAACGAUGUCAACUAGUUGUCGGGUCUUAAUUGACUUGGUAACGCAGCUAACGCGUGAAGUUGACCGCCUGGGGAGUACGUCGCAAGAUUAAAAC
rnacentral:rRNA from 1 species